rnacentral:rRNA from 1 species
UCAGACGUGAGCACCCGCUGAACUUAAGCAUAU